rnacentral:rRNA from 1 species
GACGAACGCUGGCGGCGUGCCUAAUACAUGCCAGUCGAGCGGACGGAUGGGAGCUUGCUCCCAGACCGUCAGCGGCGGACGGGUGAGUAACACGUGGGCAACCUGCCUGUAAGACUGGGAUAACUCCGGGAAACCGGGGCUAAUACCGGAUAACUCUUUCCCUCACAUGAGGGAAAGCUGAAAGAUGGCAUCUCGCUAUCACUUACAGAUGGGCCCGCGGCGCAUUAGCUAGUUGGUGAGGUAACGGCUCACCAAGGCGACGAUGCGUAGCCGACCUGAGAGGGUGAUCGGCCAUACUGGGACUGAGACACGGCCCAGACUCCUACGGGAGGCAGCAGUAGGGAAUCUUCCGCAAUGGACGAAAGUCUGACGGAGCAACGCCGCGUGAGUGAUGAAGGUUUUCGGAUCGUAAAACUCUGUUGUCAGGGAAGAACAAGUACCGGAGUAACUGCCGGUACCUUGACGGUACCUGACCAGAAAGCCACGGCUAACUACGUG